rnacentral:lncRNA from 1 species
CCGUUCAUGUGAGAAGUUGUCAUGGUUAUGUGCAAUUAGGUCUAUUCUCUUCAAAUAGAAAUGCUGAUAUUAGGCCAGUUUUCGUUACGCUGCUGUGUAAAAUCCAUUAUAACUUCAAAAAUAUAUCCCUUCCAUCACAAGGCAGCUGAAGAAGCAUCCACAAUGAAAAUCUUCUUUCCUUUCCUGCUGCUGCUACUGUUACUGCUGCUGCCGCCGCCACCAACACGCUCCGUCCAAGCCGCCCUCUGGAAGUCACAGCCUCCCGCGGCGUCUCCCCGCCGAGUCCGCGGAGACGCCCGGCCACAGCCCCCG